rnacentral:rRNA from 1 species
CCCUAUGGGGCGCACCCGGCACGGGGAACACCAGUUUUGUGAAAACGCUCGCCAAACAUUAUGAAAAAGAUCUUCUUUCAGUCAACUUCCCUAAAGAUCACGAUUACAAUGACCGAAUCAGGGCAAUUUAUGCCACAAUAAGCAUGGUUGAUCCCAAACGUUCGAUAAUUCUUGUGGAUGAGGCUGACGAUGUCCUGAAUUCGCAGGAAUCUCAAUUCUUCAAGAGUCACAGCAACAAGAGUUGGAUCAACAAUCUUUUAGAGGACCAUAAUCAAAAGAUCAUUUGGAUAACCAAUCGGGUUAGUGAGAUCGAUCCUUCCACAAUGCGGCGUUUUACCUUUUCGGUCGAAUUCAAAAAGUUCAAUCCGGAAAAUCGGAUCAAGCUCAUUACUUGUGAAUUGGCGGGAGGGC